CAUCGGACGCCUCAAACUUGGA
rnacentral:siRNA from 1 species